AACGAACGCUGGCGGCAGGCCUUAUACAUGCAAGUCGAGCGCAUCCUUCGGGAUGAGCGGCGGACGGGUGAGUAACGCGUGGGAAUGUGCCCUUCUCUACGGAAUAGCCACUGGAAACGGUGAGUAAUACCGUAUACGCCCUUAGGGGGAAAGAUUUAUCGGAGAAGGAUCAGCCCGCGUUAGAUUAGGUAGUUGGUGGGGUAACGGCCUACCAAGCCUACGAUCUAUAGCUGGUUUUAGAGGAUGAUCAGCCACACUGGGACUGAGACACGGCCCAGACUCCUACGGGAGGCAGCAGUAGGGAAUCUUGGACAAUGGGGGAAACCCUGAUCCAGCCAUGCCGCGUGAGUGAAGAAGGCCUUAGGGUCGUAAAGCUCUUUCGCCUGUGAUGAUAAUGACAGUAGCAGGUAAAGAAACCCCGGCUAACUCCGUGCCAGCAGCCGCGGUAAUACGGAGGGGGUUAGCGUUGUUCGGAAUUACUGGGCGUAAAGCGCGCGUAGGCGGAUUGGAAAGUUGGGGGUGAAAUCCCGGGGCUCAACCCCGGAACUGCCUCCAAAACUGCCAGUCUAGAGUUCGAGAGAGGUGAGUGGAACUCCAAGUGUAGAGGUGAAAUUCGUAGAUAUUUGGAAGAACACCAGUGGCGAAGGCGGCUCACUGGCUCGAUACUGACGCUGAGGUGCGAAAGUGUGGGGAGCAAACAGGAUUAGAUACCCUGGUAGUCCACACCGUAAACGAUGAAUGCCAGUCGUCGGGUAGUAUACUAUUCGGUGACACACCUAACGGAUUAAGCAUUCCGCCUGGGGAGUACGGUCGCAAGAUUA
rnacentral:rRNA from 1 species